GAGUUUGAUCAUGGCUCAGAUUGAACGCUGGCGGAAUGCUUUACACAUGCAAGUCGAACGGCAGCACGGACUUCGGUCUGGUGGCGAGUGGCGAACGGGUGAGUAACAUAUCGGAACGUAUCCAAUAAUGGGGGAUAACUAAUCGAAAGGUUGGCUAAUACCGCAUACGCCCUACGGGGGAAAGCUAGGGACCUUCGGGCCUGGCGUUAAUGGAGCGGCCGAUAUCUGAUUAGCUAGUUGGUGGGGUAAAGGCCCACCAAGGCGACGAUCAGUAGCUGGUCUGAGAGGACGACCAGCCACACUGGAACUGAGACACGGUCCAGACUCCUACGGGAGGCAGCAGUGGGGAAUUUUGGACAAUGGGCGCAAGCCUGAUCCAGCCAUUCCGCGUGAGUGAAGAAGGCCUUCGGGUUGUAAAGCUCUUUCGCAAGGGAAGAAAACUUAGAUACUAAUAUUAUCUGAGGUUGACGGUACCUUGAUAAGAAGCACCGGCUAACUACGUGCCAGCAGCCGCGGUAAUACGUAGGGUGCGAGCGUUAAUCGGAAUUACUGGGCGUAAAGCGUGCGCAGGCGGUCUUGUAAGUCAGAUGUGAAAUCCCCGAGCUCAACUUGGGAACUGCGUCCGAAACUACAAGACUAGAAUAUGUCAGAGGGGGGUAGAAUUCACGUGUAGCAGUGAAUGCGUAGGAUGUGGAGGAU
rnacentral:rRNA from 1 species